AUUCCAAAGGUUCCGGUCCCCGCCCCCUUUGUGACCUCAUACAAAGGCUUGGCUAAUACUGCAAAGUUUGGGAUCCACAGUCUACAAAACCCCACAUCCCCUGAGAAUUCUCUCGCCUGCCUUAGGCACUUAGGCUCCGGGAGAUUGCAAAUAACCUGCUUUCUUUCUGUUCCCGGGCUGCGUUCGGACUCCUGUCAGAUAGUAAAUCCUAAGUGGCGUCGGACCCCUGUCAGAGAGUAAAUCUCAAGUAAGGUACCUGCCAUCGGCAGAUUUGAGCUUUCUUCUUGGACACCUAAUACCCACAGUCCUCCAGGCUCCGGUAGACUGCAAAUGACCUGCUUUCUUUCUGUUCCCGGGCUGCGUUUGGACCCCUGUCGGAUAGUAAAUCCCAAGCUCCGGUAGACUGCAAAUGACCUGCUUUCUUUCUGUUCCCGGGCUGCGUUUGGACCCCUGUCGGACAGUAAAUCCCAAGUAAGGAUAACUUCAGGAAGUGGGUAUUAAUUCUCACGGUAUAAGUGAAGACAUUAAGCACCAGAGUUUAAGUAGCUUGAUCCACUGAAAGAGAUUCAACUGUGUGGAACCUAUGCCGUGGAGAAUUGCUUUCUGCCAUUGUUAUCGUCCAGCAGUUGCCGAAUAGCUCUGACCUGAGCAAAGCAGUGAAACGCGGUGCUGUUGAGUGGGUUGCCACUGCACCUUUUUCAACUACUCUAGUCUUGUGGAGAAAAUACCCCUUCUAAAUUUUUUCUUCAUUGAAUACUCUCCCUCAGCUCCAGAGUACCAUAUAGAGUUUUCUUGUAUUUUAGAGUUACUGUUUUAUCAAAGUUUACCAGUCUUUUGUAUUACAUUUCUCCUGUCUAAAUCGACUGUGUGGUUUCUACUCAUUAUGGAUAUAGAUUGAUACAAACUCAAUAAAUAUUUUUGAAUGAAUAACUCCACAGUCCAAGUUAUUUUAAUCACUAUACAAAAUCUCCAGAGUUUC
rnacentral:lncRNA from 1 species